rnacentral:tRNA from 1 species
GCUUUCAAAGGAUAACAGCUCAUCCGUUGGUCUCAGGAACCAAAAACUCUUGGUGCAAAUCCAAGUGAAAGCU